GGGGGGGGGGGUAAUUAUCAAGUGGUCAAUUCUUCUUAUAGUGCUUGAUUUUUAUGUACUUGUGUUGUGUAUAUUUCUAACUACACAAGCUUUCAAAGCCUUCAUUUUGUACUGUGAUCCACUUUAUUAUAAAGCUAUUUUAUUUUGGAAACCCAACAUGUAACUGCAAAAAGAAAUCAACAUUUUGUUUUGAAGAUGUUUGUAAAGAUGCAGUUGAAAUAGAAGAGCUAUCUUAAACACAGUAUUCAAAUUUUAUUUUAUUUUGAUAUUAUUUCUAUGUGUAAAUGUUGUUUACAUAUUGUUUUUUUCUCUUUCAUUUCAGAAACUGAUUAUGAUAAUAGUUUGUGUUAUUGUUUUAUUAGCUAUUAUAGGACUUAUACUUGGUAUAUCUUUAUCUUAAGUUUUUUGGGAAUAACACAUGUGCCUUAUUAUAAAUGAUGAGAAAUUAAGGUAUAACACAUGUGCCUAAUUAUAAAUGACGAGAAAUGCUCAGUGCUUAUUGAUCAAUCUGCCUUCCUUGCUUUUAAUUUGAAUUGAGUCUAGUUUGUACAAAGAUGAAAUUUUUCUCUGUCCAACAGCGCUUUACUUUUUCAUGAUCAGUUGAUUUUAUGGUAUUGGUUUUGCACAGUUACUGUCACCUUUUUUCCAUCUUCCAUUUUUUUUGACUUAUUUUGAAACUCCAAUUCUGAUUACUGUGGAUUAUUCGUUGGAUACCAAUUUUCGUUGAUUUUGACGUUAAAGGUGAAAUAUAAAUUUAGAUUUUCAAUGAAGUACAAAUUUUCUAUAGGCUUGUAGGCAGACUUUGGCAAAACCAUGAAACCAAAUAUCCACUAAAAUACAAUUUGUCCUCAAUCCACGAAAUUGGUAUCCACGAAAAUAAAUUAAUUCACAUUAGAUAAUUCAAAUCUUUUUACUGGGUGUCAUAUUCGCUUGCAUUUCAAUAAUCAAAGAUGAAAGUAAAGGGUAAAAUUCUGUAUAUUGAUCAAUAAAAAUGAUCUUUUGUAAUACAUGGGUAAGUGGGGGGGGGAGUCUUUUGGCGUUUGUUGACAGAUAUGUUUCAACUUACCACUAUUUGAUAUAGCAAGGACAAACUGUAUACUUAACGACAAGAUUAUUCAAGAACUUUAAAGGAAUCUUUUUUUCACUGGAGGGAGGCAGUGAUUUAGUGCAAAGAUCUGUCAUAUUUUCUUGACGGCAAAACUUAUAUGUAUAUUUUUUUAGUGCUAUCAGUGCUUUCUGGAGAGAAAACUUAUUUCUUUAAAAUGCUAUACAUUUACUGAAAAUGUUGCAUUAAAAAUCAUUGAUUGUUAAUUCAUCAGGACUAUUUUAGGAUUACAAUGGUAUCAGCAAAAACCUUUUUAAAAAACCUACCACAACUUUCUCACGUCGAGUUUGUACAGAAAUAUAAUCUGAAAAAACCUUCCCUAAUGGUUUCAUACUGUAUUUAAUGUGCUUAUUCUAACUGUCGUCUGCUGAUGAGACAUUUUUUCCAGAGACAUAUAAGUUGUAUAUAGCUAGUAUAUAAAAGUUGAAGUGUAGCAUUUUAUUGAGAUGUCAGACCCAGGACCUCUGAAAUCCAGAUUAUGUGCAAUAAUUUUAUUUAUGUAAAUAUGUUUUCUUUUCUUAGAUACAAGCAAAUUUCUUUCAUGUUCAGUCAAAAGGAAUGUUUUAGUGUAGGGAUCUUUUGAAGUUAGAAGUAUGUUUGAUUCAUAAGAGCUAGAUGUAUUGGGUUAAAUUUGUUUUCAAGUUAUAACCAAAUUUCAUCCCCUAUCAAUGUUGACCAAAUAUCAUUUAGGUAACGAACUAGCAUAACUAGUUGAAUGCAUGAACUUUAAGAGGUUAACAAGUAACUUUCAUUCUAACUUAAAAUUCAAGAUGGCUGCUAUAUAUUUACAUAUUCUCUUAGGAUCCAAUGUAUUCUAUGAUCUUUAUGAUUUCAUGAGUAGAUCAAUCAGCAUUGCAAAGAUGUAUUACAAAUUUUGAAGCUUUUCUUUGAUGAACAAGAAUGUUUAAAACACAUAAAAAAUAUUUCAUUCAAAAAGAAUCUUUGAAUUUUUACAAAUUUAAGGUAGCUCGGGUGUCUAAAUGUUCGACGAUAGAUUUUUCUUAAACUGCUGUAAAAGACUUCUGGGUUAAUAUACUUUUAAACUUCAGACCUUGUUUUUUGUAUAAAAUACAUUGAUAUUAAUGAAAUCACAGUUAUUUAUAUGGAUUAUAUAGGGGAAACUUAAUUUUUCCCAUUUUUAUACGACCGCAAAAAUUAAAAAUUUUUUGGUCGUAUAUUGGUAUGACGUUGGCGUCGUCGUCGUCGUCGUCGUCGUCGUCGUCGUCGUCCGGCGUCGUCCUGCGUCGUCCGAAGACACAUUGGUUUUCGCACUCUAACUUUAGUUUAAGUGAAUGGAUCUCCAUGAAAUUUCACCAUAAGGUUCAAUACCACAAAAGGAAGGUUGGGAUUGAUUUUGGGGGUUAUGGUACCAACAGUUAAGGAAUUAGGGGCCAAAAAGGGGCCAAAAAUAAGCAUUUUUGUAACUUUCAGACAAUAACUUGUGUGUAAGUGUAUGGAUCUCUCUGACAUUGUACCACAAGGUUCCAUAUCACAAAGGGAAGGCUGUAAUUGAUUUUGGGGGUAAUUGCCUCAAAAUUUUAGGAAUUAGGGGCCAAAAAAGGGGCAAAAAACAAGCAUUUUUCUAGUUUCAUGACAAUAACUUGUGUGUAAGUGUUUGGAUAUUUCUGAAAUUGUACUACAAGGUUCCAUAUCACAAAGGGAAAGCUGGAAUUGAGUUUGGGGGUAAUUGCCCGAAACGUUUAGGAAUUGGGGGCCAAAAAGGGGCCAAAAAUAAGCAUUUUUCUAGUUUCCAGACAAUAACUUGUGUUCAAGUGUAUGGAUCUCUCUGAAAUUGUACUACAAGGUACCAUACCACAAAGGGAAGGCUGGGAUUGAGUUUGGGGGUGAUGAAUCAUAAGGGGGUUCAAAAAAUUUGGGGGGGGGGGGUUUUCUUUUUUUCCUUUUUUUUUUCUUUUAAAAUUUUCCAUUUUAAGUUGGUUAUUUCUGAUUUAUAUUUAAAAGCAAAUAAUAAUGAUAUGGUAGGAGAUACACACCAAACAGGAUGUGUAAAUUAUUAUAUAAUAAGUAUUGUGCAAUAGCAAGAAAUUUUCAAUUGCACAGUAUUGCACAAUAGCAAGAAAUCUUCAAUUGCACAGUAUUGCGCAAUAGCAAGAAAUCUUCAAUUUAACAGUAUUGCGCAAUAGCAAGAAAUAUCCAAUAGCACAAUAUUGCGCAAUAGCAAGAAAUUGUCAAUUGUACAGUAUUGCGCAAUAGCAAGAAAUAUUCAAUUGCACAGUAUUGUGCAAAAGAAGAUACUUCGUAUAAAUUGCUUAUUUCUUGAUCAAUUUCAAUGGGGUUUUAUUCUUGAAUUCUUGGGGUUCUUUAAUAUGCUGAAUCUAACCGUGUAUUAAGUUUUUGGAUUUUGGGCCCCGUUUUUAAAUUGGUCCACAUUGAGGUCCAAAGGGUCCAAAAUUAAACUUUGUUUGAUUUCAUCAAAAAUUGAAUUAUUGGGGUUCUUUGAUAUGCCGAAUCUAACCGUGUAUUUAGAUUUUUAAUUUUGGGUCCCGUUUUUUAAAUUUGUCUACAUUAAGGUCCAAAGGGUCCAAAAUUAAACUUAGUUUGAUUUUAACAAAAAUUGAAUUCUUAGGGUUCUUUGAUAUGCUGAAUCUAAACAUGUGUUUAGAUUUUUGAUUAUGGGCCCAGUUUUCAAGUUGGUCCAAGUUGGGGUCCAAAAUUAAACUUUGUUUGAUUUCAACAAAAAUUGAAUAUAUGGGGUUCUUUGAUAUGCUGAAUCUAAACAUGUAUUUAGAUUUUAGAUUUUUGGCCCAGUUUUCAAGUUGGUCCAAAUUUGGGUCCAAAAUUAAACUUUGUUUGAUUUCAACAAAAAUUGAAUAUAUGGGGUUCUUUGAUAUGCUGAAUCUUACCAUGUAUUUAGAUUUUUUAUUUGUGGGCCCGCUAUCAAAUUGGUUCAUAUUGAGGUCAAAAGGGUCCAAAAUUAAACUUUGUUUGAUUUCAUCAAAAAAUGAAUUAUUGGGGUUCUUUGAUAUGCCAAAUCUAACUGUGUUUUUUAGAUUUUUAAUUUAGGGUCCCGUUUUUUAAAUUUGUCUACAUUAAGGUCCAAAGGGUCCAAAAUUAAACUUAGUUUGAUUUUAACAAAAAUUGAAUUCUUCGGGUACUUUGAUAUGCUGAAUCUAAACAUGUGUGUAGAUUUUUGAUUAUGGGACCAGUUUUCAAGUUUGUCCAAGUUGGGGUCCAAAAUUAAACUUUGUUUGAUUUCAACAAAAAUUAAAUAUAUGGGGUUCUUUGAUAUGCUGAAUCUAACCAUGUAUUUUGAUUUUGGACAUUGGACCAUAAUAGGUAAAUUAAAAAAAUUGAAGUUCUUAGACCACAUUCUUUCUGUGUCAGAAACCUAUGCUGUGUCAAAUAUUUAAUCACAAUCCAAAUUCAGAGCUGUAUCAAGCUUGAAUGUUGUGUCCAUACUUGCCCCAACUGUUCAGGGUUCGACCUCUGCGGUCGUAUCAAGCUGCGCCCAGCGAAGCAUUUUAUUAAAUUAUAGAAUUGGUUCAAAUUCAACGAGAGAAUUGCUUUUUAUGAAUACUUCUGAAAUAUCAAAUAAAAAUAGGGGGUCACAAGCCUUAUUUUCUUGAGAUUUAAAAAAAAAAUUUAAAAACAGAAAUUGUCAAAUUCUGUAUAAUUAUCGGCCCUUGAUUUUAAAAGGAUUUUUUCUGAAAUAUUGAAUACACUUAUCGACACUUAAUAUUUUGCUAGUUUAAUCUUAAAAAUUCAAGUAUUAGAUGUUUCUGUUGUAUAAUGAAUGAUGCUUGGUAAAACAUUUUUAAAUCAAAAAAGUAUUUUGCAACAUGCCCAGAAUGGAUGCUCAGAAAAAGACACCAGAUCUACCUUAAUCAUGUGAAAUCAAUGUUUGUCAACAUGUAAUAAGUCGGAAUGCUCAGUAAAAAUUUAUAGUAAAACAUCUGAUAAAGAAUUUUUUAAACUUCUGAUUUUAUAAUCAUGAGAUGUAAUUCCAAUAUAGGGGCCACUGCCAGCCAUUUAUUAACAGUUAAGUGCAUUUUUUUACUUAUUGAUAUCAAUAAAGAGUUCAAGCAGUGGACAUGAUUUUUUCAGAAAAUUAGAUAUUUCAGUAGACAAAACAGCUGCAUUCUUGGAAGAAAUUUGGUUGUAUUUAAUUUAUUUUUGGUUGUUUUUGUACUUUUUGACUAAUCAGAUUUUCAUUUUCAUUUAAGUUGUGUUGUUUUAUAAGAAUGGAAUGAAUUAUAAAGUUAAUAGACAAAAAAUAAAUAUUCAGUUAAUUAUCAUUUAAAUUCUUGAAAAUUGUUUGUGCUUAUUUGUUUAAUUUUGAUUUUCAACAUUUGGGUUUAUAUCUAGCAUUUUGCGAAUUUUAGUUACAAUGUAUAUACUUUUAUGAUAGUUUCAUUUUACUAAGAUUCCUUUAUAUUUCCAAAUUCCAAGGCAAUUUUUUUAAAUACACUAAUACCUUGUUAGAUUUUCAGUACUUUUACCCUUCAAAAUUUCUUAUAAAUCUGGUUUUAUUCCCUGAAAUGAAAACUUUGAAAAGAUGUUUAACCAUUUCUGUUUGUAAACAGGAUGGGUCUUGUGUAUGUUACUGCAAAUAUAAGGUGACUUUUGGUAUUUAUUUGAAUUUAAAUGAUUAACAAAUAAAGUAAGAGUUUUGUUUUAUUUUGAUAGGAUUGUGGAACUUGUACGAAUUGCGUUGUUUGCUAUUGGCAUGGGCAUUCACAUUUAACAAAAGAAUAGUUUUUCUCUUGAAAACUGUGAGAGACACUUAAAAAAAAAGAAAAAAAAAUAUGAAUUAAAAAUAUUUUUUUAUAAAAUCUACCCUUCUUUAGCGGAAUUGUUAAAAAAAGAGAAAAAAAAAUCAGGGUUAUUAUUAACAAGGUUUUAUUGUACUUUUACCGUAAUAAGGUUGUAUGACAUCAUGCUUUUUGUAGUACUAUUAUAUGUUGCAGCUCAUUUUCAUUGUAGCGCUUAUAUUUUGGAUUUAGUGCAAUAUAAGUGUAUAUAUAACUUGUGUUGUUAUUCUUAUUUUGUUGCCUGUUGGCAUUAUUCACUUAGAUAUAGCUGAAUUAUUGUGAUUCGAAUUAUAUCAAUGGUGGAAAAACAAUUUACUAGAAUUUCCUUUAAUAUACAUGUUUUGCUUCGAAAUUCGUUUCUGAUUAUGUGUUAAAUUUAAUUGAAGGGCAUUAGUAAAAAAUAUUGAUCCAGUUAAUUUCUGUUUUGAUUAGCAAAAAUAAGGUCUAUUUCAGAAAGAAAUAUAAGAAAAUGUUAUUUUUGCUAAAGUUUUGAUCUGAUAGACUAAUGGCAUGAUUUCAAAUCAGUUUAAAGAAAUUAUAAAUUCAUGUUGAUUUAGUUGCUUAUUUUUUAAAGUGCAAUUAUCAAAAUAAAUAGAAACUGCAUUUUAAUUGAUUUAUAUGUAUAUGUUGUGAUUUUGUUCAUUUUCAAUACAUGUGUAUGUAUAUUUUGUUUAUUGUUGUUAUUUGAAGUCCUAUUCAUCACACAAUACCAUUAAUUGGGUUCUUUUGUCAGGGCAAUUAAAUUAAAAUGGAUGGGGGAGGGUAGGUACCCAUAGGAAUUCCCCAAACAACCAAUACAUUUUCUUUGAAAAAAAUUAUCGAAUGGACAAGCAACCAUAAAUGACCCCUGUCAAAAAAAAAACUUCCCUCCCUCAAUUCCAUGCUCACUUGAAUCAUUGGAUUAACUCUUAUACAAAAAUUUGUCAGCUAUGUGUAGUUUUAUGAUCAACUAUUUUUCUUUAUUUUUGACAAUCAUUCUGUGAUUCAACAGGGCUUCUUCAUUCAAAUCAAAUCAUGAAUUCAAUUAUUAUUGUUGAAAAUUAAAAACAAAUCAAGAAGAUGACGGAAAAAUAUUUUGUGCAUUUAAUGGAUUAGAUACUGUGUUCAAGUUUUCAUAGAGAAAAAGAGAAAUUUUUCAAAUUUAAAUAUUGAAACUUGACUUGUUUUGCUAAAUUUUAAAGGGGGUGUGUCCCUUUGGAUCCACCUUUGGUAUUUAAAUACAGAAAAUAAAGUAAAAGAUUUGCUUGCUUUGAAUACAUUGUCAAUGGGUCCAAUAUCAACAUUAAUCAAACUUUAACCUAGGGACCAUAUUUUUUUUUAUAAACCAUGACAUGCAUAACAUGAGCUUUUUAACAUGCUCCAUUGCUCCCAUUAGUUCAGCAGAAAUUUGGUAUUUGGGAAAGAAUAAGAUUACUCAGUUUUUUUAAAUAUUUUUUUUUUUUACACCUUGCAUGAAUUCUUAUCUCAAGUGAAAUCUGCAUCUCCUUGAGUUCAGUAAAAUAUAAAAGGGCUGUAAUAAACAUAUUUUAACCAGAAAGUUAUAUUAAUAGGAAGAAAAUACUUACUUGAAUAACUGAUUGAAGAUAUGAUACGGACUUACAAUCAAAACCAUAAAAGUGUACAUAUUUCAGGCAAUUGGCAAGUUCAAGAUGAAAUUAAUCAAGGGUUUCCUAAACAAUUGUUAGUUAUUGAAACAUGUUAUAUUUGGAUGGAUUUUACCAUGCAUUCAGUUCAGCAAUUUGUCUUUCAAUACACAUAAUUUCCAAGCAGCUCUUGAUAAAGUUAUAAUUUAAGAUAGUAUGAAAAAGUGGUUUACACUUGUAUGGUUUUGGCAAUAAAAGUUUGUUGAUUCUUCAGUUAAAGAAUUGAGUAAGCUAUUAUGGUCAGUACAAAUGUUUAAAUUGCAGCAUUAUUUUUUCUUAUAAAAGUUCUAUGUUUAUCGUGAUAUAUAAUAAUCGUUAUCUUGUUUAAUCAAUUAAAAGUUGACAGGUGCAUAUUUUUAGAUUAAAACCAAAAAUUUCAAAUAUACUUCAAAAUUAUAAGGUAAAGUUUGACCAUUAGGCCAAGUAAAUUUUAUUUUUAGAUUGUAUUUCACCUCUGAAACAGUAGGUGAAAUAUAAUCUAUUUACUUACUGUAAUACCUUGCAAUGACUCUUAUAAAAAUGUAAUGGAAUGUGGUAAAUACCUUCUCUACGAAAAAACCUAAGUAUCCAUCAGCCUAAGAGACACACUGGUAGAACAUAUUUAAGUAAAAUUUACUUUGCAUUCAAUUUCAAAUAUUUUUGUAACUUAUUGGUCUUCCCUAUGCCACUUUCACCAUAUUUGGCUCUUUACAGAAUUCCAUGUGUGGCCAUGUGGCAUCAAAGCUACACAUUUUGACUAAGUGGCCAGAUGUUAUGCACUGUUAACCAUCUUAACUGUUAUUCAUUGUUACCUCACAUAUAUAUAAGUUGUUAUUUUUCUGAACGGAGCUUGAAUUUUAGUUUUACAAUUUUUUAUCUUGUAUUUAUGUUUAUAGUUCUAGUCUAUUUAUAGCAAUAGACACAUAAAUGUAUCUUCCCACAUUAAUUGAGUUUUGCCCUGUAUGAACUGUAAUGUAUAUUGUUAUAUAUAUCUGUCAGUUUGUACAUUGUGGUCAAAAUAAUAUGUCAGUUUAGUCCAUCACAACUUAAAAGCAAUCUUUUUUAAUUAAGAUAUUGAAAUAUGAGUAAAAAGCAUUUGAACAAUUUGAUUUAGUUACAAUUGAAAAGAUUCUUUUAAAGCAAAUAUUAAAUUUUCCUCAAUUUCCCUGUUAUGUCCUGUUUUAUUCUCCCACCCGUACAUUAUUAAAGUUUGUGAGUUUGUUUAAGAAUUCAUGUCAGUUUUACUUCUUUGUGCCAUUUUUUUCUUGAUUUUUCAUGAAAAUUUCUACUAUAAGGUUGCAGUACAUAUUAUUUUGGCGUGUCUGUCUUUAUUCUCUCAAGCUUUACUGUUGUCUAGUAAUGUGUAUUUAUUUGUGAUUAUUUUAUAUUAGUGUAAUAUUCAUUUUUUAUAUGUAUAGUUUUGUCAGUUCAGGCUCUGUUCAUGAAUAUUUAUAAAGUCUAACACUCAUGAAUAUUUAUUAUUAUGUAGAAUAAAGAAUUCUUCAUCUUA